UCGAAUUUUGUGAGGGGUUGUAGCUGGCCCGGAAGGGCAUGUGCACGCCCCGAUCAUCCUCACACACCUGUGCACCUUCUGUAGGAUUGGCUGUGGCGCUGAGCUGCUUCCGAUUCCUAUGUCUUUCACAAACACCUCAGUUAUAGAAUGUCUUUUGCUAUAAACGCAUAAAUA
rnacentral:misc_RNA from 1 species